GAAAUCUGCGCCAAAGAAGAGGCGAGGAUGUGUCCAGCGCACGUGAAGUACAAGGAAUGUCAGCUCUGUUGAUCUUGGGGUUACACCUGGCCCUAAAACGCAUGCCUGAGUUGAUUUCCGCAGCUGCACCACUAAUGACGCGCUGACUCAAAAACGUCUAUUCCGCUGACUAGACAGUCUUCUCGGGAAACCGACAGGAGCUACCAGCUGGAGCUGGCUGCACCCUAGGCAAGAGGUCACAGUGGCGACUGCUCAAGCAACUCAAAGGAAGGUGGGGAGGAAAAGAAAACACGAUCCAAAUUUACAAAUUUAGGAAAACCUUUUGCCCAACUUGGAUUGCCAGUUGUAUUGGCGGGCGCAAGGCUCAGAGUGGACCGGACCGCGAUCUUGAUGGCGGAGCCUCUGGCGAAGGCUUGUACGCGCGCGAGAACCCUGGCUUCAAGGCUGCUCUCGAGGCCGCUUUUUAGUCUCCAAAUGAGCCUAAUUUCGAUUUCCCGGCUAGCCUGAGCUGGCUCAGGAGACUUUGUCCGCCUCGUUGACGGCUGCCUCUCCCCCUUCGCCAAGGCCGGAUCUGGGCGGUCCGUUCCCGUGUAUCUCCUUGGAACCUCUCUGGGGAAAGGGGUGGUGAACAACUCCCAGCUGCCGGUUCCAUUUGUUGCGCCUUUUUCCUUCGACACAAUAAAAGUCAAAUUAAUUGAUUC
ensembl:lincRNA Gm12688 predicted gene 12688